UUUUGUUGAAGCUGUCCCCCACUGUUCUGAUGGUAUGAUGUUCUGGAUGUUCUGAUGGUGGUUCUUUUGGGAGUCAUGUUUUGAUGCCUUGAUGUAUUUUUUCUAGGUUCUUUUUUAUUUCUCUGGAUUUUUAUCUCAGCUUGUUAAGCUGUGUAUGGUUGUGGUUUUGUAACACCUAACAAUAUGUUUUGACAUUAUGUGUGACAUUCUGUUUGACUAAUAGACAUUUAUUUUGUCUCAUUAGUCUCUUUGGUC
rnacentral:lncRNA from 1 species